CCUACGGGUGGCAGCAGUGGGGAAUAUUGGGCAAUGGAGGAAACUCUGACCCAGCAACGCCGCGUGAAGGAUGAAGGUUUUCGGAUUGUAAACUUCUUUCGCGAGGGAUGAAUAAUGACGGUACCUCGUAAAAAAGCCCCGGCAAACUACGUGCCAGCAGCCGCGGUAAUACGGAGGGGGCGAGCGUUUUCCGGAAUGACUUGGCGUAAAGGGAGUGUAGGCGGCAUGAUAAGUUAUGUGUGAAAGCCCGCGGACCAACCGCGGAAUUGCACAUAAAACUGGUAAGCUGGAGUGCAGGAGAGGGAAGUGGAAUUCCCGGUGUAGCGGUGGAAUGCGUAGAUAUCAGGAGGAACACCAGAGGCGAAGGCGAACUACUGGACUGUAACUGACGCUGAGGCUCGAAAGCGUGGGGAGCAAACAGGAUUAGAUACCCGGGUAGUC
rnacentral:rRNA from 1 species